UACGGAGGGUGCAAGCGUUAUCCGGAUUCACUGGGUUUAAAGGGCUCGUAGGCGGCCAACUAAGUCAGACGUGAAAUCCCUCGGCUUAACCGGGGAACUGCGUCUGAUACUGGAUGGCUUGAGAUUGGGAGAGGGAUGCGGAAUUCCAGGUGUAGCGGUGAAAUGCGUAGAUAUCUGGAGGAACACCGGUGGCGAAGGCGGCAUCCUGGACCAACACUGACGCUGAGGAGCGAAAGCCAGGGGAGCAAACGGG
rnacentral:rRNA from 1 species